rnacentral:tRNA from 1 species
CUCAGUUGGUUAGAGCAGAGGACUCAUAAUCCUUUGGUCCACGGUUCGAGUCCGUGUGGGCCCACCA